rnacentral:rRNA from 1 species
GACGAACGCUGGCGGCGUGCCUAAUACAUGCAAGUAGAACGCUGAAGGAGGAGCUUGCUUCUCUGGAUGAGUUGCGAACGGGUGAGUAACGCGUAGGUAACCUGCCUGGUAGCGGGGGAUAACUAUUGGAAACGAUAGCUAAUACCGCAUAAUAGUAGAUGUUGCAUGACAUUUGCCUAAAAGGUGCAAUUGCAUCACUACCAGAUGGACCUGCGUUGUAUUAGCUAGUUGGUGGGGUAACGGCUCACCAAGGCGACGAUACAUAGCCGACCUGAGAGGGUGAUCGGCCACACUGGGACUGAGACACGGCCCAGACGCCUACGGGAGGCAGCAGUAGGGAAUCUUCGGCAAUGGACGGAAGUCUGACCGAGCAACGCCGCGUGAGUGAAGAAGGUUUUCGGAUCGUAAAGCUCGGUUGUAAGAGAAGAACGAGUGUGAGAGUGGAAAGUUCACACUGUGACGGUAUCUUACCAGAAAGGGACGGCUAACUACGUG